CCUGAGAAACCCGAAAGAUCGAAUGGGGAGAUUCAUCGUCAGCGAUUCUGGUACGUGUGCGGUUCGCGAUGUCGGAGACUUCGGUCUCACGGCACGUGUCCGCAUGUUUUUUAUUGCCGGUUUCGUCGGCGUGCACUUCUCCCCUAGUAGGACGUCGCGACCCGUUGGGUGUCGGUCUACGGCACGGCAGGGCAGCCUGUCUCGUGUGUUGCGCGCUUCGCGGCGUGUUGUCACGCGGGGCAGACCUCCGUUCGCCUGACCGACUGCUCGGCGGUACUCGCAUGAUAUCUGGCCGCAGGCAGGCGAAAGCCGAACUGCGUCCGGCCCGUCGCAAGCGAGGCAAGUGUUUCCCGGCUGUACGGAUCUAAUGCCGUCACCGGGCCUUGCCAGCUGUUGGUUGACGGUGUCCUAGGACAGGCUAUAACAAAAUGAUAUCGGUCGGCGACGCUACUGCUUUGGGUACUUUCAGC
rnacentral:rRNA from 1 species